rnacentral:rRNA from 1 species
AUGGCGGCGUACGGCGUAGAGGAUGGUGAGGAUCUGGAACUUGGAGGUGACGAGCCAGGCGGCGAGGCCGAGGCUGCGGUGGGCGCAGAGCCCGACGGCGGCCACCUGGAGGAAGCUGAAGGUGGACAUGAAGGCGUUGCAGGAGUAGACGUAGGGGUACUUGCGGGCGAGCCGGCCGUGCAGCAGGAACCAGCAGGAGAGGCACACGCAGUUGCCCAGGAUCGCCACCGUGCCCAGCGUCCACCUCUUGCCGGCGGCAGGGUCGGCGCCCACCGGCGACGGCGCGGAGUAGUGCAGCUGGCCGUGGUGGGCGUGGGUGAGGGGCACGCCGCGGUAGAAGGUGAGCACCAUGGCGCCCGCGAGCGACACCAGCGUGCCCGCGAGCUUGGCGACGCCCGUGGCGGUCCUGAGCUUCAGGGACUCGGACCGCGUGGCGGCGGCGAGGAGGAAGGUGAGGACCGGCGCCACGUUGGAGAAGGCCGUGACGAAGGUGGCCGUGGUGUAGCGCAGCGCCACGAAGAUCAUGUACUGCCGCAGCGCCGCCCCCAGCGCCGCGCUGGCGAAGAGGUAGGCGAAGAUCUCCAGCGUCAUCCUCGGCCGCGCCUUGCCCUCCCGGAAGUAGGCGAUGGGGCCGAGGAAGAUGGCGGCCGUGAGCUGCUGCAGCGUCACGAGCACCAGCGGGUCCAGCCCGCCGUUCAUGGCCACCUUGACGAGCGACACCAUGACCGCCGCGAUCGCGUUGAGGAACACCAUCACCACCACCGGCCACACCCCGCCGCCGCCGCUCCCCCCUCCCAUCGCUCCGCCACCAACGCGCGCAGGCAGGCGAUCGAGCCGGUGGAGAGGAAGAUAUGCGGCGAGCGGGCGGGCGAGCAGGUUGGGUCGGUGUCAGGCGGGCUUUAUAGCCGUGAGAGAGGGAGGAAGGAGAGGGCGAGUGGGCAGGGAUUGUCCAUGGGAGGGAGGGAAGAUGAUGCAAGAAAGAAGAGGGAGAAAGCGAGGGAAGGGAGGGAGGGGGAAUCGUUUCAGGUACGGCGCGCGGCUUUUGGUUUCGCCACCACCACCACACCGCCGGGAAAGGUGACCGGACCAGACACCGGAGCAGAGGCCAGAUCGGUUACAACAGACGGGAACUGUGUGGUGUGCUGUGGGUAG